UGAAGACCAGCGUCAAGCUCAUCCACGCCAGUCGGUUGUUCGUGGACGAGGCCGUGAAGGAGGAUCACUACCACUCAAAGCGCCACAAGAAGAGUACAAUCUAAUGCUGGAAGCAUUUAUGUUCACUCUUUUACACGAGCUCCAGGCCUAUGAAAUUUGAAGUUUGAAGCCGUGAAACCAAGUGCAAAGCAGUGAAGCCCUAGUCAACAAAGAUUUGUUUGAUCAGUUUGACUAUAGUAGAAUGUAAAUUGUAAUAUUGUAACAGAUUGUAAUAUAUUAAUUUAAUGUUAUUUGAUGAUUUUUUUUU